rnacentral:rRNA from 1 species
AUGGACGCUGGCGGCGUGCCUUAACACAUGCAAGUCGAAGCGAGAAUCCGGCUUCCGUCCGGUAAUUAGUACAGUGGCGCACGGGUGAGUAACGCGUGGGUAACGUGCAUCUUAGUGAGGGAAUACUCCAGUGAAAAGCUGGCUUAAUACCUGCAUGAGUCCCGACUGGGGACGCAGAAGGGUGGGAAUUGGCUAAGCCACGCUUAGAGGAUCGGCCUUGCGUACUAUUAGCUAGUUGGGGGGGUAAACGGCCUACCAAGGCGACUGAUAGGUUAACGGUCCUGAGAGGUAGGAUCGGUCACACUGGAACUGAGAUACGGUCCAGACUCCUACGGGAGGCAGCAGUGGGGAAUUUUGCGCAAUGGGCGAAAGCCUGACGCAGCAACGCCGCGUGGAGGACUGAAGGCCUUUAGGAUUGUAAACGCACUGUGAAGUGGGAAGAAAAGAAACUGCCGGUUUGAAUAGCAGCGUAAAUGACGGUACCACUUAGUAGACAGCACCGGCCUAACUUCCGUGCCAGCAGCCGCGGUAAUACGGAGGGGUGCAAGCGUUAUUCGGAAUUUAUUGGGCGUAAAGGGUGCGUAGUAGGUGGCUCGCUGAGUCUGCGUGUGAAAUCUCCACGCUUCAACCGUGGAAGGUGCAGGCUGGAAACUGGCGGGAUCUGAGUGUUGGAAGGGGCUAAGCGGAAUUCCCGGUGUAGGAGGUGAAAUGCGUAGAUAUCGGGAGGAACACCAGUGUCGAAGGCGCUGACCUGGCCAAUCACUGACAAUUGAGCACGCGAAAGCGUGGGGAGCAAACAGGAUUAGAUACCCUGGUAGUCCACGCCUGUAAACGAUGGGUGCCUAGCCAUAUCGGGUGUUGACCUUAGCUGGUCAGUUGGCGAAGCCAACGCGUUAAGUAUCCCGCCUGGGGGAGUACGGUCGCAAGCUUAAAACUCAAAGGAAUUGACGGGGCCCGCACAAGCGGUGGAGUAUGUGGUUUAAUUUCGACAGCAACGCGAAGAACCUUACCUGGGCUUGACAUGCCUCUGAAGCCCGUAUGAAUAGUGGCUUCUUGGUCGGCUAAGAAACCUGCACAGGUGCUGCAUGGCUGUCGUCAGCUCGUGUCGUGAGAUGUUAGGUUAAGGUCCUCAACGAGCGCAACCCUUGUAUCAGUUGCCUAGUGAUUCGGGCCACACUCUGACUGGAGACUGCCGGGUAAACCGGAGGAAGGUGGGGAUGACGUCAAGUCCUCAUGGCCUUUAUGCUAGGGCUACACACGUGCUACAAUGGCAAGUACAAACCGCUGCAAACCGCAUGGGGAGCCAAUCGAAAAAGCUGUCUCAAGUUCGGAUUGAGUCUGCAACUCGACUCAUGAAGCUGGAAUCGCUAGUAAUCGCAGAUCAGCCUGCUGCGGUGAAUACGUUCCCGGGCUUGUACACGCCGCCCGUCACAUCACGAAGUGGUUUGUACCUAGAAGUCGUCGCGGCCAGACCCGUAAGGGAGGAAGGCGCCCACGGUAUGAUCCAUGAUUGGGGUG